rnacentral:pre_miRNA from 1 species
GAAGUACUCCCUCCGUCCCAUAUUAAGUGACUUUCGAUCACACGUAUAUAGACAUAUUUCAUCUAUAGAUAUGUCCAUAUUUAGAAAAAUUUGAGUCACUUAAUAUGAGAUGGAGGGGGUAGUUG